UGAUCAUGAGACAUCCUUUUUCAUGCAAGAUAGUAAAACCUAACAUCUGAUACUGCAAGAGGAGUGUCUGAAAAGGAAAAAACAACAGAUUUUGCCACAUGGUUUUGGACAAGAUCAUUUGUCUGCUUCCAUGACUUCCACCAGGUAGCACAAGGCAAGGAAAGUAACGGCCAAAGAAAAUUGUAAUCUGAAUGCAUUACUUGUAAGAGGGAACUGAACUACUCUGCUGUAGAAUUGUAUAGUCUAGAGAAAGAAAGGGGAAUGGGAGAAAAAGAGUGAAGAAAAGAAAGGAAGUCAAUAUUUUGAGCUCACAAGUAA
rnacentral:lncRNA from 1 species